CCUACGGGAGGCAGCAGUAGGGAAUAUUGCUCAAUGGGGGAAACCCUGAAGCAGCAACGCCGCGUGGAGGAUGAAUGUUUUCGGAUUGUAAACUCCUUUUUUUAGAGAAGAUAAUGACGGUAUCUAACGAAUAAGCACCGGCUAACUCCGUUCCAGCAGCCGCGGUAAUACGGCGGGUGCAAGCGUUACUCGGAAUCACUGGGCGUAAAGAGCGCGUAGGCGGGAUAGCAAGUCAGAUGUGAAAUCCUAUGGCUUAACCAUAGAACUGCAUUUGAAACUGUUAUUCUAGAGUAUGGGAGAGGUAGGUGGAAUUCGUGGUGUAGGGGUAAAAUGCGUAGAGAUCAAGAGGAAUACUCAUUGCGAAGGCGACCUGCUAGAACAUAACUGACGCUGAUGCGCGAAAGCGUGGGGAGCAAACAGGAGUAGAUACCCCUGUAGUC
rnacentral:rRNA from 1 species